rfam:Myotis brandtii contig219046, whole genome shotgun sequence.
GCCGGUGUGGCCCAGUGGGUAGAGCGCCGGCCUGCGGACUGCAGGGUCCCGGGUUCGAAUCCCGGGCAAGGGCA